rnacentral:rRNA from 1 species
AUUGAACGCUGGCGGCAGGCCUAACACAUGCAAGUCGAGCGGAGCGGCGGACGGGUGAGUAAUGCUUAGGAAUCUGCCUGUUAGUGGGGGAUAACAUCCGGAAAGGGGCGCUAAUACCGCAUACUAUCAGAUGAGCCUAAGUCGGAUUAGCUAGUUGGUGGGGUAAAGGCCUACCAAGGCGACGAUCCGUAACUGGUCUGAGAGGAUGACCAGUCACACUGGAACUGAGACACGGUCCAGACUCCUACGGGAGGCAGCAGUGGGGAAUAUUGCACAAUGGGCGCAAGCCUGAUCCAGCCAUGCCGCGUGUGUGAAGAAGGUCUUCGGGUUGUAAAGCACUUUAAGUGGGGAGGCGUUACCCGCAGAAUAAGCACCGGCUAACUCCGUGCCAGCAGCCGCGGUAAUAC